CCUACGGGAGGCAGCAGUGGGGAAUAUUGCACAAUGGGGGAAACCCUGAUGCAGCGACGCCGCGUGAGUGAAGAAGUAUUUCGGUACGUAAAGCUCUAUCAGCAGGGAAGAAAAUGACGGUACCUGACUAAGAAGCCCCGGCUAACUACGUGCCAGCAGCCGCGGUAAUACGUAGGGGGCAAGCGUUAUCCGGAUUUACUGGGUGUAAAGGGAGCGUAGACGGCAGCGCAAGUCUGGAGUGAAAUCCCAUGGCUUAACCAUGGAACCGCUUUGGAAACUGUGCAGCUAGAGUGCAGGAGAGGUAAGCGGAAUUCCUAGUGUAGCGGUGAAAUGCGUAGAUAUUAGGAGGAACACCAGUGGCGAAGGCGGCUUACUGGACUGUAACUGACGUUGAGGCUCGAAAGCGUGGGGAGCAAACAGGAUUAGAUACCCGAGUAGUC
rnacentral:rRNA from 1 species